GAGAUCUUUUAGUGAAAUAUUAUUGUUUAGUUUUGCUAGAUACUCAUUCAGUAAAUAAAGGCCAGAGAUAUAUCUUCGAACACAAAAUAGGUCGAUUACUUGAAUUUUCUUAUUCACUUAUUUGAGGCCUGUAAAUAGCUUACAUUCAAAUGACUCGAUUUAUUACUCAUCUUGUCCAAUUAUAAUAUGUAUUUUAUGUGUGGAUUUUAUUUGAUGUUUAUUUAACGUGAUAGUUCGUAACAUGGCUACAACAAUGAAUCAACAUCAAUGCGAAUGACAACAUUUAGGUUUAUUUUAGACGAUGGUCAUACAAGCGAUUGUGAUAUAUAAUGAUAUUAGGCAUCGUGAACAACGUCUCCCUAGAGCUCCUCAUAGAAAUUGGGAUUCCGAAAGAGAUAUGACACUUAAAUAAAUGUUUGACACGAGUGACUGUCGUGAUCUACUUAGGAUGAUAAUAGUCUGUUUCAAAGAUUAUGGGCUCGUUUGCG
rnacentral:lncRNA from 1 species